rfam:Triticum urartu cultivar G1812 contig438178, whole genome shotgun sequence.
CAAUUACUCCCUCCGUUUGGUAAUACUUGUCAUUAAAAUGAAUAAAAAAGGAUGUAUCUAUAUGUAUAUUAGUUUUAGAUACAUCCAUUUUUAUCCAUUUUGAUGACAAGUAUUUUCGGACAGAGGGAGUAAUAG